UUUUAAAGUAUUACUCUUUGCUACCAUUAACUCAGUGCAUAAUCUCUCUCUUCCUCUCUAGGCUCUCAAAAGCUCUCUCUCUUACUCUACUGUGUGAGUGUGUGUUUUCUUUUGCAUGCAGUGGAAAACAAAGUUAUUUGAGUAAAAAAGCUGGGUCGAAUAUAGAGAGAAUAUCGGUCUGGCCGGAAUACGGGUGGUGCUGAGUCGAAUCGGUGGCAGGAAGCCGCGACAGAAGGUGAAGAUAAAGGCGAUGGAGUGGUGGCAUAAAAUGGUCUUCCCUGUUAGAAGAGUUUGGUUCGCUGUUUCUGCACGAGCUAAGGCUCGCAAAACUGGUUAGUAUCUCUCCGGGCAAGUCGACUAACGACUAACCUAAUUGUUUCUCGUAUGGUUAAGUUAAAACGUAGUUUGUAAGUGUAUGAUAAUUUAGUUUCCGUUUCUUCACAAAUCGAUUUUAGGGUUCUUCUUCCU
rnacentral:lncRNA from 1 species